CAAUAGCGUAUAUUAAAGUUGUUGCAGUUAAAAAGCUCGUAGUUGGAUUUCUGAUCGAGACAUCAGGUCGGGUCCGAGAGGAUCAUGUACUUUGAUUUGUUUUGAUCAUCCUUGGGGAGAGCAUUUCUGGCAUUCAGUUGUCGGGAUUGGGAUCCUCAUCGUUUACUGUGAAAAAAUUAGAGUGUUCAAAGCAGGCCUCGGCCUCUGAAUACAUUAGCAUGGAAUAAUAAGAUAGGACUUUGGUGGUCUAUUUUGUUGGUUUGCACGCCAAAGUAAUGGUUAAUAGGGAUAGUUGGGGGUAUUCGUAUUCAAUUGUCAGAGGUGAAAUUCUUGGAUUUAUGGAAGACGAACUACUGCGAAAGCAUUUACCAAGGAUGUUUUCAUUAA
rnacentral:rRNA from 1 species